AAAUGAAUAGACGGGGGCCCGCACAAGCAGCGGAGCAUGUGGUUUAAUUCGAAGCAACGCGAAGAACCUUACCAAGGCUUGACAUCCUCUGACAGACGUGGAAACACGUUUUCCCUUCGGGGCAGGGAGACAGGUGGUGCAUGGUUGUCGUCAGCUCGUGUCGUGAGAUGUUGGGUUAAGUCCCGCAACGAGCGCAACCCUUACACUUAGUUACCAGCGGGUAAUGCCGGGGACUCUAGGUGGACUGCCGGGGACAACUCGGAGGAAGGUGGGGACGACGUCAAAUCAUCAUGCCCCUUAUGUCUUGGGCUACACACGUGCUACAAUGGCCGCUACAAAGAGCAGCGAUACCGCAAGGUGGAGCGAAACUCAUAAAAGCGGUCCCAGUUCGGAUUGUGGGCUGCAACCCGCCCACAUGAAGUCGGAGUUGCUAGUAAUCGCGGAUCAGCAUGCCGCGGUGAAUGCGUUCCCGGGCCUUGUACACACCGCCCGU
rnacentral:rRNA from 1 species